rnacentral:lncRNA from 1 species
GGGAACAUCAUUUUUCCCCUAUGCCAAAAAACAGUCGGCCAUUCCCCUUUCCCUCUCACCGAUCUCUCAAUUCUCCCCCUUCCCUUUCUCUCUCCACCACGGUGAGCCAACCCUGGCGAGCCAACCUCUGACGCCCAGAGACAUCGAUAACCUCCACCACCUUCAUCAGUGAAUCCACCCAACCCGACACUCCUUCUAUCUCCUUUCCCCCUCUCUUUUUACCCCAAGCCGCGGCUGCUCCACUAUUUUUCGGUCGGCGAGCCAUCAAUCUUCUAUCGUUUCUACGAACUUUGGCCAACCAUGGCCGAUGAUAACCAACACCACCAGCCACUACUCCAGUCAGCCGCCACGUAACUUCUCCGACCACAUUCCAGCGAGAGAACCACUGAGCCACCACCAUCUUCCUUCCAUCUCUUUCCCCUCUCCAUGCUUUCUCCUUCCUUCUACCAAACAACUACUGACAACCACAACAGCCGCCCAUUUCUUCCUCUUCUCUGGAAAAGUUCAGAGCCGCCGCCACCGACUUUUACUAUUUCUCGCCCUCUCUCCUCCUCUCUUUGUUCAAAAUUUAAAAAUCCAAGAUUAGCUCUUCUACGACGAACUUUGGAGAAAUCCGACAAGAUGAGCAACACAAAUGGAUGUGCUAAUCAUUUCUCACGACUAAAUUUUGGGAUGAUCACAAUAGCUUUGGAUUCACUCAAUUUAUUUUUUGAUUUUCAUUGAAUCUUAAAGAAUUAUCCAUCUCGGGUAUGAUUUUCUCUAUGCUUGAUUACUAUCAUCUCCAAUUUCUUGCUUUGGGCAGAUUCUUGGUUGUUAGAUUUGUGCAUUUUGUUUAAGUUGUCGUGAUUCUUAUUUGUUUACCUCUUUCAACCAUAAUAUGUGAAAAUCCCAAAUUCUCAUGAAAGUAAUCUUAGCGAGAGUUUGUUUCCUGCUUAGAUUAACUUGAUUAUUACUUGUCCGAGGCCUUUGAUUAUUUGCUUUUUCCCAUAAAGUAUGCUUGUAACAACAUUGGUGGUUUUAUUUUGGUCAUUCAAAGCAAUAUAUGUUCAAUACGUGCGUUAUUCUAUCUUUAGUAAAUUUUGAUUGCUAUAAUAAUUUUGGUAAGCUUAGAUUGAUUUUGGGCUUGGUUGAUUCAUUCACUAUAAUUGAGGGUACUUCUUAUCAGCUCAGUGGUUUUGAUUAUUGACUUUCAUUUAACGAUGCGGACAACCUAGUAUGUGAUUGCUUGUGAUAAGUUCUCAGUGAUUUUCUUUCUUUUCCUUUAGCAAAUGUGACUACUUCGUAUGGUAACUUGAGAUUUUACUUACCUUUGAUUGAUACAAUUUGUUCUGUUUAAAGAAAUUAUAGUGCGACUGGUGAUUCUUUCCUAUUUGAUGCCUUAAUUGAUUAAUUCCUUUAGCUAUAUAAACAACACCUUUCUUCAUUAUUUUGGACAGAGUUUUGACCCUUACUAUUACUGACUUUUUACACUGAACAAUAUUUACUCUGCUCUAGACACAUAAAAUAUCUCUUUUGCUUUUGGUCUUGAGACUUCGACUACUACUAUUACGAUAGAUUUUUACUUUGAAAAGCACGGUUUUCUUAUUUAUGUUUUAUUACUUUCACUUCUAAUCGGUUAGUUUUUUCUAACGAUGCAUUAGUUUCUUUUUCUAUUAAUUCUAUGUGAUUAUGAUUUUGUUUUUGUUUGCGUAUUUUAAAUGCUUGAUGUCAUAAGCCUUCUACUCGUUUUUGUGCAUUUCCAAUAUCAAUUGGGUGUUUAUGCUAUUUUCUUUUGUCAACGUGACAUGUUUUGUACCUCUAUUUGCAAUUAAAUAUUUUUCCCACUGGAGUGUUUGUUGUAUGUAAAUUCAAAACGACCUUUCUGCAUCUCAUAACCUUUUUGGCGUGAUUCUUAGGAUCUCAACAGAGCCAAGGGUUGGUUGUGUGUUGUCAAAGAUAUGUUGUGGAUUCGGGAAGUAUUAUAGUGUCUUUGCUUCUGUUCGCAGGUUAAAAGGCAACCAUUCAGAGGAGAGUUCGUUUGGAAUUUUGUGAUUUUGGAGAUUUUCUAAUCUUUUCUUUAUUAUGCCUUGUUUAUAUUUUAUUUAUUUAUUUAUUAUAUUGGUCUGUAAUAUAUGUAUAAACACUGAUAUAUAUAAUGGAAAACGGGGAUUGCUCAUGGGGGGACGAGAUUAUAUGACCUGAAUAUUUGAUAACAAUUGCUUUAUCACUUAGGCAAUAAUUCUAGGAUCAUCAAUUAAAUUCUAUCUCCUAGAAGUCAUGUUUUAGGAUUUCUAAUUAACACACAACAUAUAAAAAUUAAUUUUAAGCAUGUCAAUUUAAUUUAUAGCAUGUUUAGUUAAUUUUCACAUAUUUUUAUCCAUUUUUGCAUAUUUAGUAAUUUUUUCUGCACAUUCAAAGUUUUUAUUCUGUCAUUAUUAAUUUUUUGCACUUUAAGAUAAACUACAUUUUAAACAUUUUUUGUGCAUUGUUUAAUUAAAUUUCUGAGCAGUUCAAUUAUU